rnacentral:lncRNA from 1 species
GCACGUUAAAGUCAUUGAGCUUUCGGGGGAAAAAUCAGAUUUUUCCGGUGACUCGGGGUAAAUGUGGGGACUUAGAAAGCUCCCCCUAGAAGGCAAAAGUAGAAGCUGAAAGUGUCCCCACUCUUGACUGUCCUGCCUUGUCAGAACCCUGCAAUCUGUGACACCGCACAGGAGCCAGUGGGUUUUGAUGACUGGUGUGUUGCUCUCUGCUGGAAUACAUCUGUGGGGUCAAGAAGCGGGAGGAGGAAAUGCCUGUCUCAACCACUAACUAAUUUGCCUUUAUUAUCUUUUCCUGAACAUCAGAUCAAUUGUGGAAGAACAUAAAAUGCAAAACAUGAACUUGCAGAAAACAAGAGCCAAUCCCAUUUCUCUUCUGCAGCUGCACUGGAAAUGUGCGUCAGCUCAGUGUGUCACAGCAGAGAUACACGUGGACGGGGAAGCACAGCAGCUUGCAGGAAAGGCCUGGCUGGCAGAGAGCACCCAAAGAUGAACACAAUGAACAGUGAGGGUCUCACGCGAGGUGGCUGGGGCUGAGUGGCUUUUGGCGACUGAUGUCCCACAUCUGAGUGGAGAGCAGAGGAGAGACUCCUCCAGCUUCAUCAGCACUGGCAUAGGCUUGAUUCCCAUCCAUACCCUUUCCAGCACAGACGUGCACAGACUCUCGUGGCUGCCACAGUGCGAAAGCGCGCCAGCCACCACUGCUCCUUUGAGUGAGACACUGGUUGUGUAAUCUGAACCUGGCUGGAUUUGCUGUUUAAGAAAGAAGUGAAGAGGAUCCUUUUAUUUUCCCAAACGGGGCCUCAUGGAAGUUCCACGUUGCUCCUCCCUGGCCUUCCAUCUCCACUGCACAGUGAGCAGAGCUAGGCUUGUCUGUGGCAGCUCCGCCACGCCCUGUCACCUGCAGUCACUAGUAGUAGGGCCCUAGCUUUUCAUAUCCUAAGUAACUUGGCCACUCUGGAAACAGACCAUAGGAACACCGAGGGCUUCCGAACUGGUCAAAGGAUAUUCCCAAAUCCGGUCCACUGUGGGGCUUGGUCAUUCCCUGGGUAGAUUUUAACUCAGCCCGGAUGAUCCUAUAGUUCUUGCCUCUGUUGCUGUCCCAGUACGUCUGUCCAUUGCACUCGUAGUACACAGCAAACUCCAUUCUUUCAUAAGACUGAAUCUUCUCGGGCAAGCUGAUGUCGAAGGAGAACGUGUCCCUGUCUGAACCGGCAUAAGUGUCCUUCACGUACUGACAAGGAAAGUCUGUGUAGCUCUUCCAGGUGUCGAACGUCAUCCUUAUUUUCACGGUCUUCUCAAAUGCGAGGUUCUGAACCUUCACAGUGCCUGCAAUGGCCUUGUCCUUGAGCACACAGUUCUCAAGGCAGACGUGGUCGGCCUGAAGUCGAUUUCUAAAGUCUAAGUAAUCUGCAGAGGGCUGGGAAAAAUCCAGAACAAAGCUCUCGCUCUCUGCUGUCGUCAAGCUCACAAUGUUGUCUAGGAGCUCGGUGAUGUUGAAUGGCAUAUCUAGCGGGUCAUCGAAUUCCGAGAACACUUUGACCAUUGUCAGGGCCAGCCCCUGGUUGUCUGCGAAGGACACCCGCUUUUUCACCUUCUUCUCCUGGACAGCCGGGGCCACCAUUCCACUGGCUUCAUUCUUGCUGCUCAGCUGAAUACAAGGCCUCAGUGGUUUGCUGGGCUUUGGUGAGAUCUUAAAGGCAAACCUCUCUUGGCGCAAGGAAGGAGCCAUGCAGUUGUAUCUGUACUCGAUGUCCACAGCCAUCAUGGGGCUAGAUGAACAGGCUAGAACCGUGGAAAGGGAAGAGAAGAAAGAAAACAGUGGAGCAAUCAGAUCAGACAGAUGUGUAAAGGCAUCAUUCCAGCAGGGACUGGCAAACAAUAUUUCCUUUUAUCUAUGCCCACCUGGCUACAGGUCCACGUAUGCUCAGAUUCUCUUCUGCCUCUGCCGCCCUGAGACAGCAAGACCAACCCCUUCUCCUCCUCUUCCUCCUCCUCAGCCUACUCAACGUGAAGAGGAUGAGAAUGAAGACCUUUAUGAUGACCCGCAUCCACUUAAUGAAUAGUAAAUAUAUUUUCUCUUUCCUAUGAUUUUCUUAACAUUUUCUUUCCUUUAGUUUACUUUACUAUAAGAAUACGGUAUAUGUUACAAAUAAA